GCAUCUUCAUGACACAUACACUAAAAUGGUAACACUACAGAGAAGAUUGGUAUGGCUCCUGUGACGAAUGAGGUGCAAAUUCAUGAAGUGUACCAUGGGUUU
ensembl:snRNA U6 U6 spliceosomal RNA